rnacentral:tRNA from 1 species
AGCGGGUUAGUAUAAAAAUACCACUGACUUAGGAUCAGUAAAUAAGUUAAUCACUUACCCUCUAC